rnacentral:rRNA from 1 species
AUUGAACGCUGGCGGCAUGCUUUACACAUGCAAGUCGAACGGCAGCGGGGGCUUCGGCCUGCCGGCGAGUGGCGAACGGGUGAGUAAUGCAUCGGAACGUGCCCAUGUCGUGGGGGAUAACGUAGCGAAAGCUACGCUAAUACCGCAUACGCCCUGAGGGGGAAAGCGGGGGAUUCUUCGGAACCUCGCGCGAUUGGAGCGGCCGAUGUCGGAUUAGCUAGUAGGUGAGGUAAAGGCUCACCUAGGCGACGAUCCGUAGCGGGUCUGAGAGGAUGAUCCGCCACACUGGGACUGAGACACGGCCCAGACUCCUACGGGAGGCAGCAGUGGGGAAUUUUGGACAAUGGGCGCAAGCCUGAUCCAGCCAUGCCGCGUGAGUGAAGAAGGCCUUCGGGUUGUAAAGCUCUUUCGGCCGGGAAGAAGCGAAAGUGACGGUACCUGCAGAAGAAGCACCGGCUAACUACGUG